rnacentral:rRNA from 1 species
AUUGAACGCUGGCGGCAGGCCUAACACAUGCAAGUCGAGCGGAUGAAGGGAGCUUGCUCCUGGAUUCAGCGGCGGACGGGUGAGUAAUGCCUAGGAAUCUGCCUGGUAGUGGGGGAUAACGUCCGGACACGGGCGCUAAUACCCCAUACGUCCUGAGGGAGAAAGUGGGGGAUCUUCGGACCUCACGCUCUCAGAUGAGCCUAGGUCGGAUUAGCUAGUUGGUGGGGUAAAGGCCUACCAAGGCGACGAUCCGUAACUGGUCUGAGAGGAUGAUCAGUCACACUGGAACUGAGACACGGUCCAGACUCCUACGGGAGGCAGCAGUGGGGAAUAUUGGACAAUGGGCGCAAGCCUGAUCCAGCCAUGCCGCGUGUGUGAAGAAGGUCUUCGGAUUGUAAAGCACUUUAAGUUGGGAGGAAGGGCAGUAAGUUAAUACCUUGCUGUUUUGACGUUACCAACAGAAUAAGCACCGGCUAACUUCGUG